GUCGAGAAUCUUUCACAAUGGGGGCAACCCUGAUGGAGCGACGCCGCGUGGAGGAUAAGGUCUUCGGAUUGUAAACUCCUGUCAUGCGUGAACAAGGUUGCUUGGUUAAUACCUGGGCAAAUUGAUGGUAACGCAAGAGGAAGAGACGGCUAACUCUGUGCCAGCAGCCGCGGUAAUACAGAGGUCUCAAGCGUUGUUCGGAAUCACUGGGCGUAAAGGGUGCGUAGGUGGCGUGGUAAGUCAGAUGUGAAAGCCCGGGGCUCAACCUCGGAACUGCAUCCGAUACUGCCAUGCUAGAGUACUGGAGAGGUGACUAGAAUUCUCAGUGUAGCAGUGAAAUGCGUAGAUAUCGAGAGGAAUACCAAAGGCGUAGGCAGGUCACUGGACAGUUACUGACACUGAGGCACGAAGGCCAGGGGAGCGAACGGGAUUAGAAACCCUUGUAGUCC
rnacentral:rRNA from 1 species